UACGAGAGGUACAAGCGUUGCCCGGAUUUAUUGGGCGUAAAGUGUUCCGUAGGCGCUUUCUUAAGUUACUCUUCAAAGACCAGGGCUCAACCUUGGGAAGGGGAGUAAUACUGAGAGAGUUGAGUUAUUGUGGGGCUACUGGAACUAUCGGUGUAGGGGUGAAAUCCGUUGAUAUCGAUAGGAACUCCAAGGGCGAAGGCAGGUAGCUAACAAUAUACUGACGCUGAGGGACGACAGCUAGGGGAGCGAAAGGG
rnacentral:rRNA from 1 species